GAUGAACGCUGGCGGUAUGCCUAACACAUGCAAGUCGUACGAGAGUUUUUAACUCUAGUGGCGGACGGGUGAGUAACACGUGAGAAUUUGCCUUUAGGAGGGGGAUAACAAUUGGAAACGAAUGCUAAUACCCCAUAUGCUUUUGAGUGAAAUGGAUUUUAUCCGCCUAGAGAGAAGCUCGCGGCUGAUUAGCUUGUUGGUAAGGUAAGAGCUUACCAAGGCGACGAUCAGUAUCUGGUUUGAGAGGACGAUCAGACACACUGGAACUGAGACACGGUCCAGACUCCUACGGGAGGCAGCAGUGGGGAAUUUUCCGCAAUGGGCGAAAGCCUGACGGAGCAAUACCGCGUGAGGGAAGAAUGCCUAUGGGUUGUAAACCNCUUUUUUCAGGGAGGAAUAAAAUGACGUGUACCUGAAGAAUAAGCAUCGGCUAACUCCGUG
rnacentral:rRNA from 1 species